GAUGAACGCUGGCGGCGUGCCUAAUACAUGCAAGUCGAGCGAACAGAUAAGGAGCUUGCUCCUUUGACGUUAGCGGCGGACGGGUGAGUAACACGUGGGUAACCUAUCUAUAAGACUGGAAUAACUCCGGGAAGCCGGGGCUAAUGCCGGAUAACAUGUUGAACCGCAUGGUUCUACAGUGAAAGGCGGCUUUGCUGUCACUUAUAGAUGGACCCGCGCCGUAUUAGCUAGUUGGUGAGGUAACGGCUCACCAAGGCAACGAUACGUAGCCGACCUGAGAGGGUGAUCGGCCACACUGGAACUGAGACACGGUCCAGACUCCUACGGGAGGCAGCAGUAGGGAAUCUUCCGCAAUGGGCGAAAGCCUGACGGAGCAACGCCGCGUGAGUGAUGAAGGUCUUCGGAUCGUAAAACUCUGUUAUUAGGGAAGAACAAAUGCGUAAGUAACUGUGCGCGUCUUGACGGUACCUAAUCAGAAAGCCACGGCUAACUACGUG
rnacentral:rRNA from 1 species